UACGAAGGAUUCGAGCGUUAUCCGGAUUUAUUGGGUUUAAAGGGUGCGUAGGCGGCCCGGUAAGUCAGUGGUGAAAGCCUCCAGCUCAACUGGAGAACUGCCAUUGAUACUGCCGGGCUUGAGUACAGACGAGGUUGGCGGAAUUGAUUGUGUAGCGGUGAAAUGCAUAGAUACAAUCAAGAACUCCGAUUGCGUAGGCAGCUAACUAGGCUGUAACUGACGCUGAGGCACGAAAGCGUGGGGAGCGAACAGG
rnacentral:rRNA from 1 species